rnacentral:lncRNA from 1 species
UCUAAAUUUAUAACUAAAUUCUCUAUCAUUAAAGGUAAAAAUUCAUGUCGUAUUUAACAUUAUAUUACAAAAAAAUAUUUUUAAAAUAUAAAAUAUAAAAAGAAGAAGCUAAAAGAAUAGUUAAAAUUACAUACAGCAUAAUGAUGUAUAGGGCCUGUUUUAUUUUAUGUAAUUAAAAGGAAUGUAGAAAAUUGGGAAAAAAUAUUUAACAACAAAAUAAUUUCGAAAUAGGGCUAUAACGUAAAAAACUGGAAAUUAAAUUAUUUUUUUAGAAACGAAAUUUCUUAUAGUGCAAAUAUUUGAGAAACUUGAGAAAUGAUCAAGAAUAUUUAGUUACAAUCCUUGAUGACUGAAAAUAUAAUUACUUUAAGAAGAAUACACUAACAUAAAGUCUAAAAAUGGUAUUUUGUACCAUGUUAUAUACAAAUAAUACAUUAAAAUAACUUAUGUACAACUUAUGUCUAAAAA